GACGAACGCUGGCGGCGUGCCUAAUACAUGCAAGUUGAGCGAUGAAGAUUGGUGCUUGCACCAAUUUGAAGAGCAGCGAACGGGUGAGUAACGCGUGGGGAAUCUGCCUUUGAGCGGGGGACAACAUUUGGAAACGAAUGCUAAUACCGCAUAACAACUUUAAACAUAAGUUUUAAGUUUGAAAGAUGCAAUUGCAUCACUCAAAGAUGAUCCCGCGUUGUAUUAGCUAGUUGGUGAGGUAAAGGCUCACCAAGGCGAUGAUACAUAGCCGACCUGAGAGGGGGAGCGGCCAAGCUGGGACUGGGACACGGCCCCAACUCCUACGGGAGGCAGCAGUAGGGAAUCUUCGGCAAUGGAUGGAAGUCUGACCGAGCAACGCCGCGUGAGUGAAGAAGGUUGUCGGAUCGUAAAACUCUGUUGGUAGAGAAGAACGUUGGAGAGAGUGGAAAGCUCAUCAAGUGACGGUAACUACCCAGAAAGGGACGGCUAACUACGUG
rnacentral:rRNA from 1 species